GGAGGGUUCGCCUAGUCAGGCCUAUGGCGCACGGCUGGAAUCCGUGUUGGGAGUCACAUCCCUCGGGGGUUCGAAUCCCCCACCCUCCGCCA
rnacentral:tRNA from 1 species